rnacentral:rRNA from 1 species
AUCCAACCUGCCGUCUACUCUUGGACAGCCUUCUGAAAGGAAGAUUAAUACAAGAUGGCAUCAUGAGUCCGCAUGUUCACAUGAUUAAAGGUAUUCCGGUAGACGAUGGGGAUGCGUUCCAUUAGAUAGUAGGCGGGGUAACGGCCCACCUAGUCUUCGAUGGAUAGGGGUUCUGAGAGGAAGGUCCCCCACAUUGGAACUGAGACACGGUCUAAACUCCUACGGGAGGCAGCAGUGAGGAAUAUUGGUCAAUGGGCGAGAGCCUGAACCAGCCAAGUAGCGUGAAGGAUGACUGCCCUAUGGGUUGUAAACUUCUUUUAUAAAGGAAUAAAGUCGGGUAUGCAUACCCGUUUGCAUGUACUUUAUGAAUAAGGAUCGGCUAACUCCGUGCCAGCAGCCGCGGUAAUACGGAGGAUCCGAGCGUUAUCCGGAUUUAUUGGGUUUAAAGGGAGCGUAGAUGGAUGUUUAAGUCAGUUGUGAAAGUUUGCGGCUCAACCGUAAAAUUGCAGUUGAUACUGGAUAUCUUGAGUGCAGUUGAGGCAGGCGGAAUUCGUGGUGUAGCGGUGAAAUGCUUAGAUAUCACGAAGAACUCCGAUUGCGAAGGCAGCCUGCUAAGCUGCAACUGACAUUGAGGCUCGAAAGUGUGGGUAUCAAACAGGAUUAGAUACCCUGGUAGUCCACACGGUAAACGAUGAAUACUCGCUGUUUGCGAUAUACUGCAAGCGGCCAAGCGAAAGCGUUAAGUAUUCCACCUGGGGAGUACGCCGGCAACGGUGAAACUCAAAGGAAUUGACGGGGGCCCGCACAAGCGGAGGAACAUGUGGUUUAAUUCGAUGAUACGCGAGGAACCUUACCCGGGCUUAAAUUGCAGAUGAAUUACGGUGAAAGCCGUAAGCCGCAAGGCAUCUGUGAAGGUGCUGCAUGGUUGUCGUCAGCUCGUGCCGUGAGGUGUCGGCUUAAGUGCCAUAACGAGCGCAACCCUUGUUGUCAGUUACUAACAGGUUCCGCUGAGGACUCUGACAAGACUGCCAUCGUAAGAUGUGAGGAAGGUGGGGAUGACGUCAAAUCAGCACGGCCCUUACGUCCGGGGCUACACACGUGUUACAAUGGGGGGUACAGAGGGCCGCUACCACGCGAGUGGAUGCCAAUCCCAAAAACCUCUCUCAGUUCGGACUGGAGUCUGCAACCCGACUCCACGAAGCUGGAUUCGCUAGUAAUCGCGCAUCAGCCACGGCGCGGUGAAUACGUUCCCGGGCCUUGCACUCACCGCCCGUA